rnacentral:rRNA from 1 species
AGAGCGAACGCUGGCGGCAGGCCUAACACAUGCAAGUCGAACGGACCCUUCGGGGUUAGUGGCGGACGGGUGAGUAACACGUGGGAACGUGCCUUUUGGUUCGGAAUAGCUCCUGGAAACGGGUGGUAAUGCCGAAUGUGCCCUUCGGGGGAAAGAUUUAUCGCCAUUAGAGCGGCCCGCGUCUGAUUAGCUAGUUGGUGAGGUAAUGGCUCACCAAGGCGACGAUCAGUAGCUGGUCUGAGAGGAUGACCAGCCACAUUGGGACUGAGACACGGCCCAAACUCCUACGGGAGGCGGCAGUGGGGAAUCUUAAGCGCAAUGGGCGAAAGCCUGACGCAGCCAUGCCGCGUGAAUGAUGAAGGUCUUAGGAUUGUAAAAUUCUUUCACCGGGACGAUAAUGACGGUACCGGAGAAGAAGCCCGGCUAACUCGUGCCAGCAGCCGC